rnacentral:rRNA from 1 species
CCUACGGGAGGCUGCAGUGAGGAAUAUUGGUCAAUGGGCGCGAGCCUGAACCAGCCAAGUAGCGUGAAGGAUGACUGCCCUACGGGUUGUAAACUUCUUUUAUAAAGGAAUAAAGUGAGGUACGUGUGCCUUUAUGUCUGUACUUUAUGAAUAAGGAUCGGCUAACUCCGUGCCAGCAGCCGCGGUAAUACGGAGGAUCCGAGCGUUAUCCGGAUUUAUUGGGUUUAAAGGGUGCGUAGAUGGGUUGUUAAGUUAGUUGUGAAAGUUUGCGGCUCAACCGUAAAAUUGCAAUUGAUACUGGAAGUCUUGAGUACAGACGAGGUAGGCGGAAUUCGUGGUGUAGCGGUGAAAUGCUUAGAUAUCACGAAGAACUCCGAUUGCGAAGGCAGCUUACUAGACUGCCACUGACAUUGAUGCUCGAAAGUGUGGGUAGCAAACAGGAUUAGAUACCCGGGUAGUC